UUCUAACACCAAACAGGGAGAAAGAAAACCUCCCAAGGUAUUUGCCUUUGAUUAUUGCUUUUGGUCCAUGGAUGAAUCUAACACUACAAAAUAUGCUGGUAAGUUUUCUCCCUCUACACCUGACAGUUGGGCUUCUGGUCUCUUCUUCCAUUGAGUUUAUUUUCUUUAAUUCCUCUGGAGUUUUACUUUUCCUGUGUAAUUCACACUUGUUC
rnacentral:sRNA from 1 species